rnacentral:rRNA from 1 species
AAGAGGCGAAGCCGCGAGGCAGAGCAAAUCUCAAAAAGCCGUCCCAGUUCGGAUUGCAGGCUGCAACCCGCCUGCAUGAAGUUGGAAUCGCUAGUAAUCGCGGAUCAGCAUGCCGCGGUGAAUACGUUCCCGGGCCUUGUACACACCGCCCGUCACACCAUGAGAGUCGGGAACACCCGAAGUCCGUAGUCUGACCGCAAGGGGGACGCGGCCGAAGGUGGGUUCGAUAAUUGGGGUGAAGUCGUAACAAGGUAGC